GGGGGCUAAUACCGGAUAGGUCGAAAGAUGAAAGGUUAACUGCCUGAAGAGGGGCUCGCGUCUGAUUAGCUAGUAGGUGUGGUAAGAGCGCACCUAGGCGACGAUCAGUAGCUGGUCUGAGAGGAUGAGCAGCCACACUGGGACUGAGACACGGCCCAGACUCCUACGGGAGGCAGCAGUGGGGAAUUUUCCGCAAUGGGCGAAAGCCUGACGGAGCAAGACCGCGUGGGGGAGGAAGGCCUUUGGGUUGUAAACCCCUUUUGUUAGGGAAGAAAAAAAUGACGGUACCUAACGAAUCAGCCUCGGCUAACUCCGUGCCAGCAGCCGCGGUAAUACGGAGGAGGCAAGCGUUAUCCGGAAUUAUUGGGCGUAAAGCGUCCGUAGGUGGCCCGGCAAGUCUGCUGUCAAAGACCACAGCUCAACUGUGGAAAGGCAGUGGAAACUGCAAGGCUAGAGUGCGGUAGGGGUAGAGGGAAUUCCCAGUGUAGCGGUGAAAUGCGUAGAGAUUGGGAAGAACACCGGUGGCGAAAGCGCUCUACUGGGCCGCAACUGACACUGAUGGACGAAAGCUAGGGGAGCGAAAGGGAUUAGAUACCCCCAGUA
rnacentral:rRNA from 2 species